rnacentral:rRNA from 1 species
UAGUCCACGCCGUAAACGAUGCAUACUCGCUGUAGGCAAGUUAUAUUGUCUGUGGCCAAGCGAAAGUAAUAAGUAUGCCACCUGGGGAGUACGUCGGCAACGAUGAAACUCAAAGGAAUUGACGGGGGCCCGCACAAGCGGAGGAACAUGUGGUUUAAUUCGAUGAUACGCGAGGAACCUUACCUGGGCUUAAAUGUACGUUGCAUGAAUCAGAGAUGAUUCUUUCUUCGGACUACGUACAAGGUGCUGCAUGGUUGUCGUCAGCUCGUGCCGUGAGGUGUCGGGUUAAGUCCCAUAACGAGCGCAACCCCUAUCGUUAGUUACCAUCAGGUCAUGCUGGGGACUCUAGCGAGACUGCCGGUGUAAACCGUGAGGAAGGUGGGGAUGACGUCAAAUCAGCACGGCCCUUACGUCCAGGGCUACACACGUGUUACAAUGGCCGGUACAGAGGGCAGCCACAUAGCAAUAUGAUGCGAAUCUCGAAAGCCGGUCCCAGUUCGGAUUGG